UAUUGUUAAUAUAUAAUUUAAGUAUAAAUAAUAUAUUGAAUUGAUAUUUAGGUAUUUGAAAAUACCUUAUAUGGAGUCAGAAGGCUUUUUGCUUUCUGGCUUUUUUUAUUACUAAGAUUCAAUAAUUAUAUAGAUUCAAAAUGUUAAUUUUUAUUCUAUAUUCUACUUUCCCCAAAAGUAAGAAUUAUACCCAACUUUGUGAUAGGCAUCUUGCCUAUCUUUUUUUUGUGAAAGUA
rnacentral:ncRNA from 1 species